rnacentral:rRNA from 1 species
GAUGAACGCUGGCGGCGUGCCUAAUACAUGCAAGUCGAGCGAACAGACGAGGAGCUUGCUCCUUCGACGUUAGCGGCGGACGGGUGAGUAACACGUAGGUAACCUACCUAUAAGACUGGGAUAACUUCGGGAAACCGGAGCUAAUACCGGAUAAUAUUUCGAACCGCAUGGUUCGAUAGUGAAAGAUGGCUUUGCUAUCACUUCUAGAUGGACCUGCGCCGUAUUAGCUAGUUGGUAAGGUAACGGCUUACCAAGGCAACGAUACGUAGCCGACCUGAGAGGGUGAUCGGCCACACUGGAACUGAGACACGGUCCAGACUCCUACGGGAGGCAGCAGUAGGGAAUCGUCCGCAAUGGGCGAAAGCCUGACGGAGCAACGCCGCGUGAGUGAUGAAGGUCUUCGGAGCGUAAAACUCUGUUAUUAGGGAAGAACAAACGUGUAAGUAACUGUGCACGUCUUGACGGUACCUAAUCAGAAAGCCACGGCUAACUACGUG